CUUGUAAAUAGCGGGAGCUUGUGGAAUCAAGCUGAGAGUACGGCUAAUCCGCCGUUGACCGUUUGAACCUGUUGGGUAAUGCCAGCGCAGGGAAGGUGGAAAAAGAAGACA
rnacentral:ncRNA from 1 species